ensembl:snRNA U6 U6 spliceosomal RNA
UCACUUUGGCAGUGCACAUACUAAAACUGGAAUGGUACAGAGAAGAAGGGUAUAGUCCCUGUACAAGGAAGAUAUGCAAAUCUGUGAUGCAUUCCAUAUUUUU